rnacentral:rRNA from 1 species
AGUGAACGCUGGCGGUAGGCCUAACACAUGCAAGUCGAACGGCAGCACAGUAAGAGCUUGCUCUUACGGGUGGCGAGUGGCGGACGGGUGAGGAAUACAUCGGAAUCUACUUUUUCGUGGGGGAUAACGUAGGGAAACUUACGCUAAUACCGCAUACGACCUACGGGUGAAAGCAGGGGAUCUUCGGACCUUGCGCGAUUGAAUGAGCCGAUGUCGGAUUAGCUAGUUGGCGGGGUAAAGGCCCACCAAGGCGACGAUCCGUAGCUGGUCUGAGAGGAUGAUCAGCCACACGGGAACUGAGAAACGGUCCAGACUCCUAGGGGAGGCAGCGGGGGGGAAUUUUGGAAAAGGGGCGAAAGCCUGAUCCAGCCAUACCGGGGGGGUGAAGAAGGCCUUCGGGUUGUAAAGCCCUUUUGUUGGGAAAAAAAAGCGGCAGGUUAAUCCCCCGCUGUUCUGACGGUACCAAAAAAAUAAGCACCGGCUAACUUCGU